GAAAUUCCUCACGCCCGUGGGGAAGAACAGGUGGAAUGGGGGCCAUCUGUUCAAGAAAAAAGGAGGUC
rfam:Chlorobium limicola DSM 245, complete genome.